rnacentral:rRNA from 1 species
GGCAACGGAUACCUAGGCUCUCGCAUCGAUGAAGAACGUAGCGAAAUGCGAUACUUGGUGUGAAUUGCAGAAUCCCGUGAACCAUCGAGUUUUUGAACGUAAGUUGCGCCCGAAGCCAUUAGGCCGAGGGCACGUCUGCCUGGGCGUCACAC